GAUGGGAAACAGGUUAAUAUUCCUGUACUUGGUGUUACUGCGAAGGGGGGACGGAGAAGGCUAGGCUAGCCGGGCGACGGUUGUCCCGGUUUAAGCGUGUAGGGGGUGUGACCUGGUAAAUCCGGUUGCAUAUCAACCCUGAGGCGUGAUGACGAUGCACUACGGUGCAGAAGUAGUUGAUGCCCUGCUUCCAGGAAAAGCCUCUAAGCUCUAGGUAACAUUAAAUCGUACCCCAAACCGACACAGGUGGUCAGGUAGAGAAUACCAAGGCGCUUGAGAGAACUCGGGUGAAGGAACUAGGCAAAAUGGUGCCGUAACUUCGGGAGAAGGCACGCUGGCAUGUAGGUGAA
rnacentral:rRNA from 2 species